rnacentral:lncRNA from 1 species
CGAGCAAUUAAUCAAUCGAAGAUCUCAAUACCUAUAUUUUCGAAAGGUUAUGCCUCUAGCGGAUGGUGUCUCAAGGAGCUAGUCCAGAUGGUCGAGUGCCAAAAAACUAGGGGACAAAAGAUUAUGCCCAUUUUUUAUGAUGUAGCACCUUCAGAGGUUCGACGCCAAAUUAAAGGUUAUGGAGAGGCCUUUCUUACACAUGAAAACAAGAAGCGAUAUGACAAAGAGACUAUGUGUAAGUGGAAGGCUGCUCUCACCACAGUUGGAGAACUAGAUGGAUGGGACUUGCAAAAAAUGGCCAACAGGUAAUUGCCUCUAUCAUUCCAUUUGAUGUGCCUUGUCCCAUUAAAACUUGAUAUGUUUCACUGUUGAAAUUGGAUUUUAUGCUAUUGAAACUUUACCGCAUAAAUCACUCGAAAUAAUGGGACAAUCCCCAUUUUGUCCUUUUUCAUUGCAAACAAUUUUUAUUUUAUUUUAUCUUAUUUUCAGUUAAGGUCAUUCGUUAAUCAUAUGUGCCAAUGCUAAUUCAUUUACAAUGAAGUAAAUCCUUGUAGAAAGCAUUACGAAUAGGUCUUUAGUUUUCACUUUGGUCUUGUUAGAACAUAACUUGGUUCAACACAGUUUUCUAACUCAUUGCCAUUUGACCUCCAACAAACACUAGGAAAGAAGGUGAGAUGGCAAAAAUAAUUACCCAGAAGGUUUUCAAUGAAUUGAAAAAGGCUUAUUUGGUGGUAUCAAACAACUUGGUUGGUGUGGACAGUCAUGUGGAUAAAAUCAUGGAAGAGAUAGGUGCUCAUAUAAAUGAAACGUGGAUCGUAGAAAUUCAUGGGAUGGGUGGCGUUGGAAAGACAACAAUUGCCAAAAUCAUAUACAAUGAGCUUUCCAACAAGUACAACAAUUGUUGCUUCCUUUCCAACAUCCAUGAAACGUCAAAGCUCAGGGGCAUUGAGUACUUGCAGCAGCAGCUCAUCUUCGACAUCCUCAAGAUGAAAGGGACGGAUAUAAGAAACAUUGAUGAAGGGAUUAAGACCAUUAAAGAAAGGUUGCCUAAUAAAAAAGUCCUCCUUCUUCUUGAUGAUGUUGAAGAAAAGGAUCAUAUUGAUGCACUUGUCGGUAAGCGUGAUUGGUUUGGUGAAGGGAGCAAACUUAUUGUUACUACAAGAAGGAAAGAUGUUCUCUGUGUUUUGGAAGUGGACUGGAGGUAUGAGCUUACGUGCUUGGAUCCGAAUCUAUCUCUUCAACUUUUCAGCAGACAUGCCUUUAGAAGAGAUUCUCCUUUAGACGAGUAUAUCAACCAAUCCAAAAGGGCGAUACACAUUGCUGGAGGUCUUCCAUUAACCCUUGAAGUCAUAGGUUCACUUUUAUCCAGCAAAAAUAAAGAAAUGUGGGAUGCCACAUUGAACUUGUUAGAAAGUGUUCCUCAUGAUAAAGUUCAGAAUAAGCUGAAAAUAAGUUAUGAUGCAUUAGAUUAUCGGCAUAAGCAUAUAUUCCUUGAUAUAGCUUGUCAUUUCAUUGGAUAUCGCAAAGACAUUGUGGUUAUUUUCUGGGAUGCAUCUGGACUUUUUUCGGAAGCAACCUUGGAAGUUUUGCAGAACAUGUCUUUGAUAAAAAUUGAAAAAGAUAAUAAAUUGUGGAUGCAUGAUCAACUUAGAGACCUCGGAAGAGAAAUGGUUCGUCAAGAAAGUAAGAUGAAAAUUGUGAAGCAACGUUGGGUGUGGAAUCCCAAGGAAGGAUCGGAUCUGCUGAAGAGCCAUGAGGUAAAAUUCCCUAUAAAAAUAAAUCUCCAAGUUACUUAUGGACAUUUUCUUUUCAAAAGGAAGCAAUUAUUUUUUGUAUUCUCUAGCACCGUCGCGACCUAAUCUCUUUUAAGAUUAAAGGAAUAUAAGUACUCAACUCAACCCCUUAAAAUUUUUCCUUUGGACAGAUGAAGAAAAAAGUUGAAGCUCUUCAUUUCAAGGUUGACGAUCAGCACCAUUUUACCUAUGAGGACUUUAAGAACCUACCCAAUCUAACGUUCCUUAAAUUGGAGCAUCUUUGGCGCGAAAGGCCAUUAAAAUUUUUUUCAGCUAAUUUAUUCCAGAAAAAUUCAAAUCUCCUUCCAAAAUUACAAUGGCUUUCUUGGCAUAAUAUUCACCCAACAUUUGAGAUUACAAAUUUCUCCAUGGAUAAUUUGAUUAUCCUCGAUCUAUCUCAGAGUAAAAUUACUCAUGAUUGGAAGGGGUGGAGCCACAUGAAGGUAUGUUAUAUUCUAGACAACACUUAUUCUUUCGCCUUAUUAGAUUCAAAAGUAAACUUUGCAUGAUUUUUCUUUUACAGGUGAUUAAAAAUUUGAAAGUUCUAGAUCUGACCAAGUGCGAAUGCUUGAAGAUAACCCCCGACUUAUCUGCUCAUUCAAAAUUAGAAUGUUUGAUCCUAUUGGGUUGUUCUUCGUUAAUCGAAAUUGAUAGAUCAAUUUGUCAGUUGAAAUGCUUGGUUUUCUUAGAUGUAAGUGAUUGUCAGAGUCUUCAGAGGCUGCCAAAUGAGCUGGGAGAUCUUGCAAGCCUCAAAUACCUAUCUCUAAAUGGAUCCUUGUGUUUGAAGAGGCUUCCGGAGACAAUCGGGAAUUUGAAAUCGCUGAUUGAGUUGAACAUGAGUGGCGUGAGAAUCAAAGAACUACCCGAUUCCAUCAAAAAGUUGAAGAAUUUGAAAAUAGUGAAUAUGAAAUAUGUUGAGAUAAGCAAAAUACAUGAUAACUUUUGGACAAUAGAGAAGCUUGAAAUAACAGAACUCAUCUACUAUAAUUAUGAUGACAAGCACGUGGCAAUUGGUGAUUGCAUCUAUGAGAAUAAAUCCUUGACGAUCUUGAGAUUGUCAACGGCGGCGACAAUACACGCCCCACCAAGGCUCCCUGAAAGUCUUUUGGAAUUAGAACUGAAAUGGUUGAGGGAGGACACGUUUCCGGAUCUCUCAAAUCUCACUAACUUAAAGGUAUUGGAUCUGACCUUUGGCCCACCUAAUUGUGAUGGGAAAUCUGAUGGGCUUCUGGAAGAACCGAUACCACCGUGGAUUGGGAACUUAACCAAAUUGGAAUCUCUGAAAAUCUGCUUUCCCUGAUCGACUCAUUGACAGACCUCAGCCUCCCUCCUCAUCCGCGUCGCCUCCCGAGGCUUCCCUCAAAUUUAUCCUCCUUACUUCUCGAGGGUUGCGUCUCACUUUGCUCGAUGGAUCUAUCGAAUUUGAGGAAACUAUCGUCUCUCAACAUUUCGGGGUCUGCAGUUGCAGAGAUUGAAGGCCUUGGUUGUUUGGAGAACCUACGAGAUUUCCACCUUUGGUACGUCGGACAGCUGGUGAUGCUACCUGAUCUAAGCAAGUUAAACAAGCUAAGGAAUAUUGCAGUAUGGGGGUGCGGUAAUCUGGUUGAGAUUCAAGGCGAACUACCGCGGUUUUUGGAUUAUCUUUCAAUUGAUUACUGCGAUUCGUUACGGGAGUUCCCCGAUCUGUUCAGCUUACCCGAUCUGUUCAGCUUAAUGGGUAAGAAAGAUGUUUGUAUGCAUAUUUGCAUUCAGGUGUUUGAAUAUAAACGUAGACAUCGGUUGCUGGUUCGUGGCUUUAAACAGAUGCAGAUCCCUGAUCUAAGCAAUUGGAACAGACUAACAAUUCUUUCAGUAGUAUCUUGUCAUAAUCUGGUUGAGAUUCAAGGCAAACUACCCCAAUCUUUGGAAACAUUGUAUAUUAGCAGCUGUAAAUCUUUAAAGAAGUUGCCUGAGCUGUCAAGCUUGAAUAGACUGCGAGAGGUUACAAUAUUACGUUGUGGGAAAUUAGCAGUGGAGGAAAUUUCUCGGCUUUGCUCGGAGAAGUCAAUCAAAUUUGUGGGAGAAGAAGAUGAAGAAGACGAAUCUGUGGAAGAAGACGAUGAAGAAGACGAAUCUGAUGAAGAAGACGAUGAAGAAGAUGAAUAAGUGCACGUUGCACUUGGAAGCUUUUUGAUGCGCGACCACAAAUUGUUCCCUUGUGUUCAAACCUUAAACAAAUUGAGGUAAGUACCAAUGUUUUCCUUUUUUUGGCAAUCAAAUUCUUUCACAUAUAUGAACAGAGAAGUUUUGCAUGCACUUUUUAACGACCUUUUAGCGGAUUCUUGUCUGAAAAUCUGAUGAAGGUAUUUAAAUUAUGAUGCCUCCGAACAGCCAGAGGGCUCUUAAUUAUGUACGAGUAUUUGUGUUCUUUUCCUAGUUUGGUUUGGCUUUUUUAGCUACAUUUUCUUAGGAUGGUUUCUCCUAGAGGUAUGCAUGUCGAUUGCAUCAUUUUUAUUUGAUAUGUAACAAAUUAUUAGAGACCGUUGUUGAUUUGCUGCUUCACACAUAUUUUGAAAUUGAUAACCUCACUUCACAAGGGAGAUAAAUUCGCUAUGCCGUAAACAAAUAGAUGGAAUGUGUGUUGGAAGGUCAUACAAAUAUGGUUCUCAUUCUGGGACUUUACAGCACAAUCAACUCAUUGUUGCGACUUUGAAGUAGACAGACACUCUGUAUUGCCAUGCUUAAGUUCAGUUUAUUUUUCAGGAAACGUGUGCUUCUUAGUGCGAUUUGCAAAUGUUAUGGAGAAGUCAUAAAUGAGGGAGCCACCACAAUUCUGAGAUUACCAGUGUGGCAGCACUGGCUAAAGCAAUAGCACCAGAAUAUUUUAUCUCAGCAAUGAUGCCUUCAAUCAUAGCAAUCUUUGAUGGGCACACUGACAAAAAUCAUUCUGUGCAGCAAACGUCGCCUACAGGAGUAACUGAGAGAACGCAGCAUUCGCUGUACCAGUAGAGAAGGAGCGCCCUUUUGCUGAGACUUGAGAAUUGCACUCACUUACAAAAGAUUGGUAAGAAAAAGAGAGCACCUUCCCUUGGGGCUGCCUUCAGUAAUAGAACUGUGCAUUCUGAAGCAAUAUUGGCAUUGUUUCUGUCAUGAGAUCCACUCAAUUCCAGGAAAACACUGGCACUGCCACCAAAGUCGGUUAUGCGUCAUAUGCUACUCGCCACCUCAGAAGAACUUUCAUCAAGUAGUGGUGGCUCUUCCAUGUACACAAAACCUUUCAUAGAACCUAGCGAUCAUAAAAGAAGAGCUUUACACGAGCCAAGCGUCAAUUUGAGAAAUUCUUCCAUAUUCUUCGCAUGUACAAAAUCCAAAAGGAUUCCAAUCUGCCAUACUACUUUCAGUUGAGAAAGCAACUUGGGAUCCAUUUCUGGAGCCAAUGCCAGAGCCACGCGCAGCUCAACAUCAUUCACAUUUGCACAGGACAGAUCAUCAAGUGAAAAUCUGAAGCAGUGGCUGACUGUCUAUGGUUGUAGAAUCUCAAAAUUUUUAGUCAAGUUGAACUCUAUGAGCAUCAGGAGGAGCUUCUGCACACACAUUGGUAUCGGGGUCCUCAUCCUCAUUCAAGGUCAGUCAAAGAGGGAGAAAUUGCAUCUAGGAUAUGGAUUUCAAGCCUGGCAGCUUAUGCUCUAACUCUGGAGUUUUGAUUAGGAAAACGAACAUUGCAUCAAACGGAAUCUUGAGGGACAGAAAUCUGGCAUCACCAUCCUUGUUGGCCUUAUACAGAACAUCCAGACUCAGCAGAAUCCCACAGAUGAAUACGUCAGAGCUUUCAGGAAUCCAGUAUGACUCCUCUGUGAUGGACUCAACGCUUGCAUUUUGAGCCGGCAAUGCAGGUUCUAGGAACGGAUCAACGUUGUGCUCUGCUUUCCUUGUUCAAUCCUGAACUUCUCUUGGAUUGUGUUUGUAAUUAGUGUGCUGAAUUAUGCUUCGUGUGAAUGUGAACCAUCUAAGUUUUGCCUGUCCAGUGUUUGGUGAUCAUGUGCAAUUUGGUGUUUGAUGAAAUGAGCUAUGUGCUUGAGAUUGCGUGUGCUGGAUUGUCACCUUCGAAGCACUUGAAGCUAAAGCUGAAGCUGAAGCGCAAGGUCUAUUGCAAUGGCUUCCUCUCUCUCCGCACCCCCACAGGCAAGGUACCUUCGCUUUCACUACUAAUCUCUACCACUGAUGUCCAGCUCAACCCGAUCAGCAAUUUAGUUGCCUUUGAUUGGGCUAGGACAUGAUUCAGUUUGAUUGGCUAAUCUAUGUCAAAAUGGCAGUGGCUGUUAAAUUAUUACUGUUUUCUCCCAAAUUUAGCUUGCUCGAUCGAACUGAACAGCGGCAGCUUGAUGCUGCUUACGAUUUCAUUUUUUCUAUCAUCACGGAUUGUUCUAUUUUGUGCUUCUGGUUGUAAUACUCGCCGUGAUUGAGCUUGUUUUGAGUAGAUUAGUCCAUGCUGUGAUUGAUGGUUGGAUAAUGCCGUAUCAUGGCAGCGAGCAGCUGUUGGAAUGCAGGAUUUUGAAGAAUGAUGAAGUUAUUUGUUCCGGUGAGUCACUGAUUUCAAUGCUUAUUUGGUUGAUGUUGGAGAGCCUGGAGGAGGACAAAAGCCUCUAGAUGAUACUUAUAUUCACAGCCUGAUUAUUAUUUGGCAAUUGGAUUUAUAAGUUCCCUCUGCCGAGGGUAUUCCUUGCUUGUUUUCUUCAUAGUUGUUUUGUUGGUUCAAAUCAUCAGUAGGUGCAAUGUGAUGAAUGUGAAGUUCUUGGGUUUGGUUUGUUAAAAGUCCAAAUGGGUAUAUUUUACUUAUUGUUUGUCUUGGAAAAAAGAGCGUUGCUUGCAUACAAAUACGCGUAGACCCUACUUUGUGAUGCUUUGCUUGUUGCUUGUGUGGGAAAUUAAAUAUUUGUUCUUUUCCUUGCUUCAAACAGCUACUUGGGUAUGGUUCAUGUAUUGAUUGAUUUAGAAUCUAGAUGUAAACAUUUGCAAUUGAUCUACUGUUGCUUUUGUUCAAUGCAACUGAUCUUUUGAAACUCCAUUUUUUUCGUUAAAGUUUUUCCUUUUGUUAACCUUACUUUCAAUUGAUGCAGAGCUUUGGUUGAGUUUUUGGAUAUGAGGUUCAGUAUAAUCCCCUCUAUGAAUUACGAGGUGUGUUUUCCUUUUAGCUACUUAAAUCCUUUGGCAUGGAAUCUACAGUUGUAUUGCCUACAUAACUUUUCAUUUUCUGCAGAUGCUCCUAAUUCCUCAGAAACCGAAAAAGAAACACUGGUUAUUUUAGAAGAAACUGGUCGCUUAUGAUGUUGCAACCUGCCGGAAAUGGGAACCAAAUUGAUACCGUCCCUAUACCCUACAUAUAUAGAUUCUACAUCCCAAAUAGCACAGCUUGCUUUACAAUGCCUCCAAAUGACUCCUAACGAGCAGCCUUCGAGAUCUAAAGUCGUGGAAGAACUGGAAUCAGUAGACACUGGCAUCGCUAAUAGAAUAGAAGGGGAUAGUUAAAUUCACUUAUUAUGUCAUUCUUACUUUAUGUGAUGUAAGUCAAAGUCUGUUGUUCCACACUUUUCCAUUUUCCCGGGAACAAUCCCGGGCUUUGAAUGUUCAUUUCUAUUGUACCCAGCAGUUACUAGGAGUUGUCUUCUCUUGUAAGUUCUUUGGAAUAUCCAUGACAUGUAUAUUAAUAAAUGCACCGCUUUGUGAAUUGAGAUGUGAUUGUACUUAUGUUUAUGAGAGGAACAGUUCUUUAAGGCUAAUCCUCGAUCUUGUUGGCAAUCUGAGGUCCACAGAAGAAGUCCGUUGCUCUUCAAGAGCCCGAGCUCUUUAAUUUUCUUACAUGCUUGGGCUUUGAACAUGCGCAAAAGGUCAUUUUGGUUGCCAUUACGAAUGUGUUUAUGUGGUGCUUGCUCUGCAAUCAAUCUCCAGGAAGUGCUAGGCGGUUCAGUCCAUUCUCAUGGUAUUUUUGAGCUAUGAGACAUGGUUGGGGAAAUUGAUGGGAGUCAUUUAAGGCAAAGUGCUGCUCAGUUGUCCAUUCAGAAAGAGCAAGAUAUGACUUUUGGUGCUGUCAUGUUGCAGCUAAGACAUGUCUGAUUGUUUUGUGCUAAUAAGAGACAUUUCUUAUCAUAUGCCAGUUUUAGAUAAAACUUUUCAUGUGACAUCAUAAAAGACUAAAUUUUAUUUUGGGUUAAUACCCUGAAAAACCCCAAACUGGUACACAUGUGACAAAUUUAUCCAAAACUAUUUUUUUGAUCAUAAAAAACCCCAAAUUGGUACAUCCGUGACAAAUUUACCCCGACUAACUAUAAAAAAAAAAAACCCUAAACUGGUAUAUUUAUGACAAAUUUACCCCAAACUAAUUUAUUCGGCCGCAAAAAACUCAAAAAUGAUAAAUUUGUGACAAAUAUACCCUCGCUAAAUUGGAUUAAUACUACAAAAAAAAUCACAAAAAUUGUAAACUGUGAUAAAUGGAGCAUAAAAUCUUAAAUUGGUAUACCAGUUAAUUGUCACGUGUCAUUUAACUUAAUAAUUUAACAUUAAAAUUUAACGAAAACUAAUAGAGGGUAAAUUUGUCACAAGUGUACCAGUUUGGGGUAAAUUUGUCAAAGGUAUACCUGUUUUGGGUUUUUGGUGGUCAAAAAAAUAGUUUGGGGUAAAUUUGUCACAAGUGUACCAGUUUGAGGUUUUUCAGGGUAUUAAUCCUUUUAUUUUUAUAUUCUCAAAUUUAGAUAAGACUUUCCAUAUGACAUCAUAAAUUACUAAAUUUUAUUUUUAUAUUCUCAGUAACUUAGCCCAUUGGUUAUUGUACUUUCUUCACUAUUUGUAAAUCUAAGGGCCCUAUUAUUUUCGACACUUCUUAUGUAAUUUUUUUUUUUGAACUUGUUGAUAUGUCUCUUUUACAUCACUCUCAACGCGAAAAUAUAAAAGUUGCCAUCAUUUUGUUUUUUUUUUAAAUUUUAAACAAAUUAAAAAAAUAAAUUGAUUACACUAAAGAACUUUCCAAAUAUAUGUUUAUCAAAUAGUAAUUUCCCAAUGUUACUUCUCAAGUCAUUUUAAAUUGCAAAUUACUAAACAGUCUUUGCAUUUCACAGAACUCCUUUAGGCUAAGGGCCUUUACAUUAGCCAAAGGCGUUCCCCAAAAGUCAAAGCAAACACACCCAUAAAUGGGUACUUGAAAUUGAGCUUUAUGCAGACCUUUUUGCUUGAUUGUUGUUGCCCUGCUAUGUGACCUGCUGUUUUGUGUAAAUCAGCGAUAUAGUCGUCAUCAUCAUGGCUGAAGCGCUCUUGGAGAUCCGGCCUCAUGAAGUCAAGUUUAUCUGUGAGUGUAUAUAGUGCUGUGCGUUUGGUUCAUUUUUAUUUUGGAGCUACAUUCAAUUUGUGUUGCUUGCCUCCUGUUUUACUAGGCAAUAAGUGAAGGGGAUGAUAUUUCUUUGUUCUACAAUAAUUUGCUUGAGAAUUUGUGGUUCAACAUCAUAAAUAAUGGUAAAAGAAAUAUCUUAAAUAAGAGCUUCAAUGGCGAGUAUGAAUUGGUUAUUGGUCGCCCUGCUUUUCAAAUUCUUUUCCUAGUGUUGAAUUCUAAUUUUUGGUUAGGUUCUUUCUUUUUGCAUAGUUUCUAUUCUCGCACCACAAACUCUUAGAAUACCUUGUGAGGUGAAUUUCUUUCUGGAGAUAAAGUAAGUAAGUGAGUGUUGUAACCAAAUGACUGAGAAUGAUCGGUACAGAAAACCAACACGGAAAAUGAGAUUUCGUUGCUGCAUUAUGUCUUCAAAGAAAAUGUAUGAUGGUCCAUUUCAUCACAUCCUACUCUCAUGUUGUGCCCCGUUAAGUUCUUUUAUCUGAAGCCUCUUCUCCAUGUUUAUGCAGUUGAGCUGAGUAAACAAAGCUCAUGCUUGAUUCCGCAACAAGACUGAUCGGUAUGUUGCUUUCAAGGUGAGGAUUUUUUGCACCUUUUCAUUCACCAUGAUCGUGCUUUACUUUUUUUAAGGUGCGGUGGGCUAACAAUUUUCUUUCAAUCCUGUAUUCUCCUGAUGUAAUUUAAAUUUCAGAGUAGGACAUCAAUGCAUUAAAAGCUCUCUACUAUGGAGAAACAUUAUGAGCUUUAUACUGGAUAUCCAAAACAUUCCAGGUUAAGUCUACAUCUUUGAAGAAAUACUGUGUGCGGCCAAAUGUAGGCAUCAUCAACCCAAAUGGAGCAUCUGAUUCAAAAUUGUGCUGCUCAAGUCUGAGGAUCAUCAUGUUCACAUACUUAUUAAAGCCACUAACAUACUUGUGAGGAGGGACAUGCCUGCAGUACCUAAAUCAGCUAAAUAAUUAUUCUGCAAUUUUUUUGCCGUGACAUGUCAAUUGGACUGUAUUAUUGUUGGGUUACGAACUGCUUAAGGUAGAGUCAGUCUAAUUGUAGCAAGGAUCAUUUUUUAAUAAGAUUUUGAAUGCCUACCAUAGUAGCCUAAUAUACAUCGAGAUAAAUUAGUUUUUUGUGGGGAGAAUUACCCAAAAAGUCUUAAACCUAUUGUAAAUGUGUCAAUUCAGUCCUAAAUCUUUUUUCUGUCCAAUUUAGUUCUAAACCUUUUAUAAUUGCUUCCGUUGCUAAGGGUAUUGCUGCCCUAUCUAUCCCGUCUAACAUCGCUGCAGUUAUCGGUACUUGGGAUGAUCCACUCCCCACCCUUAACAACCAUGAUGACCGUCUGGUGUGGAUUGGCCACUCUUCAGGUCAGUUUUCUACUGCUUCUGCAUGGAGUAUGCUUCGAGCUAGAGGCUCCUUGGUUAAUUGGUCUCGAUUUAUUUGGAGUUCCACUCUUCCCCCACGCUAUCAGACCCAUCUAUGGCUCAUCACCCGGAAUAGAUUGCCAACCCAGGUCUUGCUUCUGUCGUAUGGGAGGAUCUCGGAUGGUUCCUGUGCCUUCUACUCAAGUAGGCCAGACUCAAUCGACCACUUAUACUUUGGUUGCUCAGUCACGGGUAGGAUGGUUUCGUUUUGGGCUCUAAAUUGUCACUUGAAUUGGCGAAAUGGUCCUUGGAAGGACAAUCUUCAGUGGGUGGUCAGCCACCUCUCGGACUCGUCUUUCCAUCACUCCAUUUCUCGCUUUGCAUUCGCUGCUAUGUGCUACCUUAUAUGGAAGGAGCGAAAUAAUAUAAUCUUUCGGAAUCAUACAUUAUUCCUGCCCGCCCUCAAAGAAAAUCUUCGGAAAGCUGUCAAAGAUAGAGUCUCCACUUUUUCAAGAAUCCCGGACAAUCCGUGUAAUCGAAGGAUCCAAAUGGCCUAGGGAAUCCAUCCUGCAAUCUUUGAAUAACUCUGUUAUUAAUCUCUGGCCCGUUACAUCAUUAUGCUCCUCUUUCGGUUGCCUUGGUGCCUCGGCUGCUUUUGGGUUCCCCCCCCCCCCCCCCCCCCCUGUUUAUCGUCUUGGCAGGUUGUGGCUCCCGGGCUCUUGGCUCUUGCCUGUUCCUUUCUCUUGGUCGUAUGUUUGGCCUUUUGUUGCUGGUGCUUCUUUUCUGCUUUGCAGCCCAUCCGCCUCCCGUCCACUCAGUUUGACGCUUGUGUCAGCUUGAGUGUAUGCUUGGAGGCGGUUGGUUGUUGUGCCUUUGUGUAACUCUUUGGUUCUAUAGCUAUAAUAUUCUUACCUCUUACCAAAAAAAAAAAAAACCUUUUAUAAUUGUGUCAAUUCAGUCCAUCCAGCCAAAAUUGACCGGCCUGCAUUGACGUGGAUGCCGGCGGGGGACAGCCGGCCAGCGAGGCCCCACCAGAUCUGGUGAGGUCAACCUCGCCGGCCAUUGGCGAGGGCGAGGCCUUGCUAGAUCCAGCAAGCUCGGCCCUUGCCAAGGCUGGGCGAGGCUGAGCCUCGCCAAAUCUAGCAGGGCCUCGCCUAGCCAUGGUGAGGGUCGACCUCACCAAUGGUCGGCGAGGCUGCCGUCACAGUGGAAAGAGCUUGGAGCUGCCCGUACGAGACAUUCUCCAAGCAAAUGCCGCCGCCUUGCACCUGAUCCCUGCCCUCCCCGACCGAAUUCACCCUCUCGAGGGCCACAAUGCCGAGCACCGAGGAGUGAGGGCAGUUCACGGCGCUCUUGAUGAUGGGAGGGAAGUUGCGGAUAAGGCAGCCUUGUCGCGGCUAUUGGCGAGGUCGACCCUCGCCUUGGCUGGGCGAGGCCCGGCCGGAUCUGGCGAGGGUCGAGCUCGUCGGAUCUAGUGGGGCCUCGCCCUCGUAGGCCCUCGCCUCCUACCGGCGGAGGUAAGCCUCAUUGGCCCUCGCCUCCUAUCAGCGGGGGUGAGCCUCAUUGGCCCUCGCCUCCUAUCAGCGGGGGUGAGCCUCACUGGCCCUCGCCUCUAGCUGGCGUCGUCCGACCAGAGGAAAGGGAAGAUGGGAAAAAAUAAAAAAAAAAUAAAAGAAUUUUAAAAUUUUAAAAUUCAAAAAAGAUAUAUAUAUAUAUAUAUAUAUAUAUAUAUAUAUAUAUAUAUAUAAAUUGCCUCACCGGUCGGCUGUCCUCCACCGACGUCCACGUCAGCGCCGACCGGCCAACUUUGGCCCGAUGGACUAAAUUGGACCAAAAACAGGUUUAGGACUAAAUUAAUAUAAUUGUAAUAGGUUUAAGACUUUUUUGGCAAUUCUCCCAUUUUUUGUGUUAGAAAACUCUCGAAAUAAUUUUUUUUUUUUAUACCUAGGAACCGUACAGACGGCAGGUAAAUCCUGGGGCGACGCUAGUAAAGGACCCAUCACCCCGACAUUCGCGCUUAAGAUCCUAUGCGUCUUGCGGGAUUCAAACUCCUGUGUCCUGGAUAGACGUCAUGGGAGCUCUUAUCUAGUUAGGCCACCGCAGUGGUUCAAAAUAGUAUAUUUGUAUUAUAUUUACCUCCAAAUUAAUUUUCGUGUGACUAGCCAAACGUAACUCAUGAGAUUAUCUCUUCGGCCCCGUCCCCGAACCAUGGGAAGAAAAAUACAGGAAUUUUGGAGAAAAAGAAUUACAGACUCCGAGAAGUUAUCAAAUGCGCCGUCGUUGUGGUGGUAGUCGGAGAUUAUCUCUUCGGAUAGGGCUGCCGGCGGGAGGAGAAGAGGCCGACGGGCGGCGGUGUGAGGCGGCGGAGCUCGGAGGCCUUCUCGAAGAGGCCCUUUGCGCCUCUUCGAGUACGCCCCGAUUCCCUCGGCCGAAGAGAUAAGCUCCGACUACUUCCGCGGCGGCGGCGGCGGCGGCGGCGGCGACGGCGACGUGGUGCCGCCGAUGGGUGUGACUGGAUUGAGGCUGAGUGGGAUUCUUGCGCAACGAAGGAGGACGUGGAGUCCCGGAUCGGCGAAGUAUGACGCCGUUCGUGAUUUCGUACGCAAAGAAAUUGGAAAGAUAUGGGAAGAAUUCGUCUUGCGAUGAUCGGUGCUGGUGGCGAUUCCGGAGCUGGGUUCGGUUGUAAUUGUGAAAUUUUGGCCGAUAGAGAGAUGGGUUCCGUUGUUGUGAGCUUUACAGUUUCUUGACUUUGCCGGAGAACUCGGCCAUCGGCGGUGGAAGCUCGGGAGAGGAGUCUGACGCUCUGUGAUCUUGAGGGCUAUGGAUAUGAUCCUGACCACUUUCUUACACUUGAAGAUUUGGAUGUUAUUCUGUGAUGUAAACUUGAAAUGCAUGUGAUUUUUCUUGUUAAACUUGAUGGUACAGAAUACAUGGGGUGGGUUGUGUUCAAAUUCGUCCCCUUUUGGAUGAGAAAAGCAUCAUUUAGUCAGUUGCUUCGUUGGUGAAGUUGGGGAUAGGAGGGAGAUUCAUGAUUUGUUGCUAGCUUGUGAAAGAGACGAGCUUUGAUUUAGACUGUCUUAUUAUGGCAAUGAAUUGACUGUCUCGGAUGAUGAAUGGCAAUGCCAGUGAAUGCAAAGCUUUCCACUGUCUGUGGAGUAUUAUUGCUUAUGAGAUCGGAUAGUUUAUGCGACUAAUCAUCUGUUCAUUGAUGAUUUCUUGUGGGAGAAACUUAGAAAAUGGUUUUGGAGAUAGUGGUUCAGAAGAGAGACGAGGAGCUUGUCAGUACUCUAAGGGGCUUCGAUGUGGAUGUCAGCAUGGUCCUUGAGGAUGUUACUGAGUAGUAUGUAUCUCUCUCUCUCUCCCCCUCUCAAAUUUACUUGUGCUUCAAGACGCUUCUUGCAUUACUUUGGGGUGAAGGGAAGCCAUUCCAUGUUCUUGACGUCAAUUUAUUAUCUGAAGGGGCAAAUGACCUUGAUUUGUAUGUAUUAGCAUUGGAAGUUAUCAUACCCGUGGUUUUUGAGGCCUCUCUGUCCUCAUUUUGAUCUAUGCUUCUAACUGAGAAUCGGUACUCGCACAAGCAUCUGCAAUUUGGCCUUGCUCAACAUCCAACGCCCCCCUUUUUUCCUGUCACUCCUCUUCUUAUUGACCUUCUUAAUAUAAACUGUGGGAGCUUCAUGCGAUCUUAAGAUUCUGUUUUCAUUCUUGCAUACAGUGAAAUCACUGCUGAAGCAUGAAGGGUAACAAAACUUGAUCAGAUUUUGCUUAACGGAAACAACAUAGCUAUUGUAAGAAACAACUUCUUCCUUCUGCUGGUAAUUAUAUGGCUCUAUGUUUUGAGCCCUUGCUUUGAUAAGGGCAUGGUCUUGCCUAAAGUUUUGGUAAUCUAUCAACUAGUAAGCAAUUGCCUUAACCAAACAGAAACAAUCCGCCGCUCAGCUGCUCAGAGAGAUUCCUUCUGAUAAGACUCAAAAUGCUUAGACAAUGUAUUGAUGAAUCAUUACUGGUCUUGAUUUUGUGGUAAAAAGGUCAUCAUCACCUAUUCUUCACAAUCUGGUCCUUUGUCUCAAUCAACCUUGUGUCCACCUCUUGAUAAAUAUAAAGCACAAGUGGUGUGGCAAUUAAGUUACUGAAAAGCUAGAAUUCUGCUUUCAAGUGCUUGAAGCACUUAAGUGAUGAUGCCUUCCUUUUUGUCUUAAUGCAGUUAGUCCCUGGUGUCUCCCCUGAUCCGGAAUGAGUUGGGUUCAUCCUCUAACUCCAGUGGCUGAUUAUGUAGUUACUUUUAGUUGUUGGAAGCCCCAUCAGCAACAUCAUUUGAUUUUAUAACCUCUUUUUAUGGGUUUAUGAAUCUGCACCUUAGUCAAUUGAGCUCUUAUUUGAUUGAGCCCAUGCGUGAAUGUCUGAUGCAAAUAGCUCAACAGAUGGUGCAUGAUCACAUCAUCCUAUUAUCCAAUAUCUAUGUUUUGCUCUACUAGAGGGUGUGACAAUGGUUGUCAUGCUUGGUGCAAAUUGUUCCUAGGUUUCAUCUUCCAGUGCAUUGUUAUUGAAGAACCUGUCUUGGCUUGUUUUAGAGUUCUACAGUUUUUGGCCGUUGACUGCACAAUGAUAUCUGUAUUUGCGCGCCGCAACCAUGCUAUCUUCUUGGUGGCCUGCUAUUUGACUACCCUCUCUGUUUUAUAGUACAUUCUCAACCUAAAUGCAGAAGGGUGUGUUCCCAAUAUCCACUUUGGAAAAGAUCAAAGAAUUCCACUUAUGUGCUUGUUGCUCUUUGCUUGAAAAAAUUCUACUUUAUUAUGCAGUAUGGUUCUGGUACCGAGACAUCAGGCCGAAGAUGUGCACUGUACUGCAUACAGCUAGAUGAAUAAUGGACGUAUUUUGCUCCAAGAGAUUUCAAUAUUCCACCCAAGUAGCUGUAGUUGCUGCACAUUGUGAAAAGAUCCACGCCCAAAGCGAACUCACUUGUUUUGACCAUGACUGGUUUUUUGUCGUUCAUGUUUUCAAGGCGGUUGGCUAUUUGGGUGGAGUGUUUUUUCCUGUUUUUGCGGUAGUGACAUUCAUCAGAGUUUUCUAGAGGAUUUCAGACUGCUGAAAGAGUGAGCUCAGAGCUCGUGAGGUGUGAUAUUGCUUGCAGACUUUGGUUAGAGCGACAAGAUCUAUAUAGGCUGGAAAUAAAGGUGCUGAAGAUUCACCAUAGGCCUCUUCUUUAUCGCUUGUUUUCAUGUAUAUUCACAACUGCAAACGAGCUUGACUUGAGGCAUGUAAAAUGAAGGGUAUAUGCUGAGAACUUUGUCUAGGCAUAGGUGCAUUUUUCUUAUUUGAAGCUUUAUUGGCCAUCGAAGCUCAUCAUCAUGAACAAGUUUGCAGUUUCAUUCCGAUUUUGAUUAGUUCAAACACAUGGUACGAGGUUCUUAUAAAAAUGCUAUGUGUCAGAAUUCCCGAAGUUGGAUCCAAAGUUAAAUAUAUAACAUGAUGUUUUUGUUCUGAGAUACUAAUAAUAAAAGACAGCUUGUUUUGAGUAUGUUGAUAUUUUCCUGUGACUGGUACGGUUCUUUUUCAUUCUUUCACCCAUUUCACCGUAACACAUGGUGCUACAACAAUUGUACCCUUAAAAAACAACGUAGGUUGGGUUGGGAAAGCAGUUAUAUUUCAGUAAUUGGAAGAUUAAUGUGUGACUAGUCAAACAGGGGAUUGUGAUUUUCCCUAGAUAUGAUGGAUACUCCUGAGGUGGUCAUAUAGUUAAUUUCAUUGUGGAGACCAAAUGGAAGAGGAAUUGAAUAUGCAAGGGAUGAGUGGGAGAAGAAUUAACCAAUUCAAUCAGGAGUGACUUCAGGCUAUAUGAUGUUUCCUUGAUUAGUUUCUUAUUCACAGAGUUAGUCUACACAAAAAGGCAGUUUGAUUUGUCUUCAAGCUAUUAUUCUAGUUGCAAUUUGAUUUAGCAAAUAAAAUGCAUACAUUGCAAUCAAUCCUACAUAAUUUAUUAUGACACAUCCUCCUGAAUCAAUGCCUCUGCUUGCUAAUUUGCAUUGCCAUUCUCCUAAAAAUCAUGAUAGGUCUGCUAGGGAAGGAGAUCAUCGCUUCUCACAAAUUUUUCAGUCCUUUAAUUCUUCUUGGAAUUGCAUUCCUUAUGAAAUGGAAAUCCUAGAUUCAAUGUUAAGACAAAGUUUCAUCCAAAAUUGGAUCGUGAUGUUCCAAAUGAAUCACGUUAGGUUAGUGAUGCUUGCUGAACAAUGUGUAAAAAUCACAAUGAUUAAAAAUGAAAAUUACUAGAUUUCAAUCUGGAGUAGUGAUUGAGAAAUCAAACUCUAACUCUCAACCUCUAUUCUGACCUUCUCAAUUAAAGUAUGGCUAGUAUGAAUGUCGAGACCUGAUUUUGUCGUUUUACUUCUCUUUUGGACAAAUUUAGAGAAUCACUUUAUGAUUAUGCAUUUAAAAGUGGUGUUGCGAGUAAGGUAUCGCAUUCACUUUAAAUUAAUUUUUUGUGUUGCAAAACUCCCAAAACAAUAUAUCCGUAUUACCUAUAUAUCCUCAAAUUAAUUUUGGUUUAACUAGCCUAACGGGAUUCACGAGAUUCUCUUCGGCUGUCCCCGAACCACGGGAAGAAAAAGACUGGAUUUUGGAGAAAGAGAAGAGGUUUUUAGAGCGAGACACACUUGCCAACCUACUUCAGACCCAAAAAAGAAAAAGCACACUUGCCGAUCUAAGUAAGUUAAAAGAGGACCAAAAUAUUAGGAAAUUCCGAAAAGUUUUCAGAUGCGCCGGCGCCGUGGAGGUAGUCGGAGAUUAUCUCUUCGGAUAGGGCCCGUCGGCGGCCGACAAGACGCCGACGGGACGACGGUGUGAGGUGGCGGAUUUCGGCGGCCUUCUUGAAGAGGCGCAAAGGACCUCUUCGGGUAGGCCACGAUUCCCUCGGCCGAAGAGAUAAUCUCUGACUACUUCCGCGGCCGCGGCGACGGCGACGGCGACGGCGACGUGGUGCCGCCGAUGGGUGUGACUGGAUUGAGGCUGAGUGGAAUUCUUGGGCGACGGAGGAGGACGUGGAGUCCCGGAUCGGCGAAGUAUGACGCCAUUCGUGAUUUUGUACGCAAAGAAAUUGGAAAGAUCUGGGAAGAAUUCGUCUGCGAUGAUCGGUGCUGGUGGCGAUUCCGGAGCUGGGUUCGGUUGUAAUUCUGAAAUUUUGGCCGAUCAAGAGAUGGGUUCCGUUUUUUAGAGCUUCAAAGCUCGUUGCCAGGCUCUCUUCGUGGACUUGAGUUGGAGAUGGCGACGGCUUCUUGACUUUGCCGGAUAACUCGGCCAUUGGCGGUGGAAGCUCGGGAGAGGAGUCGACGCUCUGCGAUGAGGGCUACGCAUAUAAUCCCGACCACUUUCUUACACUCGAAGAUUUGGAUGUUCUUCUGUGAGGUAGAUGUGAAAUGCAUGUGAUUGUUCUUAUUAAACUGCACCGUACAGAAUACAUGGGGUGGGUCGUGUUCAAAUGCGUCUCUUUUCGUAUGAGAAAAGCAUCAUUUAGUCAGUUGUUUCGUGGGUGAAGUUGGAGAUAGAGGGGAUUCAUGAUUUCAGUGGUAUUUCUCUUUUGCUAGAUUGUGAGAGAGACUAGCUUUGAUUUAGACUGUCUUAGUAUGGGGAUGAGUUGACUGUCGGGGGAGAUGAAUGGUGGUGCCAGUGAAUGUGAAGCUUUCCACCGUCUGUGGUGUACUAUUGCUCUUUAGAUCGGAUAGUUUAUGCAACUAAUUAUCUGUUCAUUGAUGACUUCUGUGGGGGAAACUCAGGAAAUAGUUUUAGAGAUUUGGUUUUUAAACUGAACUUACAACUGUGAUGUACGUCUUGAGGGAACAUCGGGCAGUUUGUUCUGUGUGUGCUUCAUAGCUUUCGGGCAGUAGGAAAAAGGUAAAAUUUCUGAAGGAACACAAUUAAAAGCAGUGAUUUGGAAGUCCUGUUAUAUGCAGUUCCUUUCUUAUCCUUCUCAAUGGACUUUGGUAUAGACAAAUAAUUGGGAGAAUAUUGUUUGCUUGCUUGCCUUUAUCAUAAUUAUCUUUACUCCUGUAAGCAUCUUAAUGACGAAGAUCAUCAUAUAUUUUACCAUGCCAUUGGUUGCUCAUUACGCUAUUAAGGGGUCUGUCUUUCAAGGGAUCAACCCAGUUCCAUCAUCGAAGGCAUUGUAUUGGAAGCCCAAUUGUGGUGCUUGUAUCUUGCGGAUGUAUUGGAGUCAGAGAAGCGGGCUUGGGAGAAUCUGCUAGAAACUCAGGCUAUCAGAGAAGCUGUAAAUCCUUGGAGAAAUCAUGAUGCGGAAGCAAAAAAGAAUUCAUUGUGCCACCAUUGUUGAGUUUGUACCUGGUAUGAUUUCUUCUCGAACGCUCUCAUUCAACAAGGAGAGAACUUUCUUUAAGCCAUGUUCUUGAUGGAGAAGUAUGAUAACAUUCAGAACAAAUAGGUCUAGGUGGUGGAGCUAUUUUGCUCAACUCCUUUUAGUUAAUGUGCAAUCCAUUUAUUUUAUGAGACAUUUUGGCAAUAGGUCUUAAUGCCUCUGGCUAUUAGACUUGUGCAUUAUAAUUGAUGGGAUGAUCGCACAUUAGUUUAUUGGAUCCUGAGAAUCGUGAUCAUAUUUCCAUGCGGAUUACUGCUCAAACAGGUUCGCUUCCAUACAAACUUCUUGUGUUGACAUUUGAUCUUCAGUUAGUAUAUUCAAUGUUCAUAAUUGAUAAUGCGUCAUGUAUCUGGUCAUCUUGUUGGUUUGACAAUAUAUCAGAUUUUGGCUUGAUUGAGAUUAUGUCUUCAUGUAGGUUUUAAAGUACCACCUAAAAUUAGAAAAAAAGAAAAGGAAAAAAAGAGAGACUAAAGUCCACUGAUCAAGAAAGUGAAAAGGAAAGAAACAGAGAGAGCCAAUGCCAUUAAACCAGUGAACUGGAAAAAGAGAUAUUGAAUUCUGUACAAUGCAGUUUAACAAAAAAAAAAAAAAAAACCACUUAUGUUCACAUUUGCAUCACAGAAUGACAUCCAGAUCUUCCAGUGUAAGAAAGUGGUCGGAAUUAUAUUGAUAGCCCUCGAGGUUGCUGUGCAUCGGCUCCUCUUCCGAGCUUCCUACAUGGAUGGCUGAGUUUUCCCGCAAAGUCAAGAAGCUGUCACGGUUACCGUCACCGAAAGAUUCCUCCAAGAGACUACGAAUCUCAGCAGGAUCAAAUCCACACCCCUCAAGGUCACAGUGCAUCGGCUCCUCUCCCAAGGAUCCUCAGCCGAUGCCUGGGUUCUUCGGAAAAGUGAAGAAACUGUCAAGGUCACCAUCGCCGAUGCAGUCCUUAAACGGACUAAGAAAUUCGUCAGGAUUAAAUCCACACCCCUCAAGGUCACAAAGCAUCGGCUCCUCUCCCAAGCUUCCACCCCCCAUGGCCGAGUUCUCCGGUAUAGUCGAGAAACUGUUGUGGUGGCCGUCACCGACGCAGUCCCCGGACACACUAAGGAAGUUGUCCGGAUUACAUCCGCACCCCUCAAGAUGGGAGCAGGUGGGGGUGGAGUCCACUCGCAAACCUCCACUGCCGGCGGCCGACUUCUCCGGCGAAGUCACGAAAGGGUCGCCGUCGCCCAGAUUUUCAGAAUCACAACCGAACCCGUCUCCAGAAUCGCCACCAGAACCUUUCAGAAUCACAACCGAACCCGUCUCCAGAAUCGCCACCAGAACCGAUCACGACGGACGAACCCUUCUCCAGAUCUUCCAACUUCUCGCCCACAAGAUCACGAACGGCAUCGUACUUCGCGAUCAGGGACUCCACGUCCUCCUCCGUCGCGCAAGAAUCCCAUUCCUUCUCAAUCCACUCCGCCCACUCGGUCAAACCCAUCGGCGGCACCGCGUCGACGUGGUUGGCAAUUACGUUGUCUUCCACGGAGGGGUCGCUGAAGAACGAACAGGGCUUGCCGGCGGGGGAGAAGACGAUGACAGCGGCACGAGCGCCGCAGAGGCAGCAGAGCUCGGAGGCCUUCUUGAAGAGGCCCUUGCGCCUCUUCGAGUAAGUCACGAGCCGCGCGGCCGGGUCGGCGAUCUUGGCGAUCUCCGUUCGCCGGCGCUUACCCAUUUCCGAUGGAUUUCGCGAGAUUUCUUCGACGAUUUGCAGGAUUCUUGGGUUUCCAGGAGAGAGCUUUCGUGGGUUUUUCUGGGUUUCUUGUAGAGAGAGAGAGAGAGAGAGAGAGAGAGAGAUGAAGUUUGAAGUUGCAGAGGAGGCGGGCGGGGGAAAGGAGCCGAACGGGAAGAUCUACUUAUAUAGCCAUCGUGGGGCCCUUUUGAGAACUUUCUGAAUUCUGAUUUUCGGUCCUCUAAAUUUCUGUAGAUUUUCAAAUUGGCCUCGAGAACAGUUUACUUGUGUCGAUUAAGUACUCUUAAGUUUUCAUAAUUUGUGUAAUUGGUGGUUUGUCCAGUGGAUUGCUUUUACCAUUAACACGGUGUGAUAAAUAAUUGAAUUAGAUAAGUGAAGAUGUCGCUUUAGAUUAUAAAUUUUAAUUUUUAAAAUAGAUAAGUAAAGACGUCGCUUUAAGUUAUGAAAUUUAAUUUAACAUGAGAUGAGGAAAAAAAAAACAUUUUUGUCUGUUUGAUAACAUUUAUUCUAUGAUUUUUUAUUUUUUUUUACUCUCUUCAAAUACGUGGAAAUAGCUUGCAACUAGUCAAAGCCAUGAACAUUUCAGAACAGUUGAGUUGAGAGACUCGACCACUUGUAUGCAAGUAUAAGGACAAAAUAAGGGCAUUCUCAAAUAUCCAAAUCGUACAUUACUUUAGAGAGGCCAACCUUAUUGCGGACUGGAUAGCCAAAGCUCAUAAAAAAAAUUACUUAUCUCUAAAUUGAGUUUUGUCCCCUCCUCGAACUAUGUUGGAGCUUUUAUGUAAUGAUGCCCAUUUAACGGGGCUCUCAUCUUUGCUUAGUAAAUGAAAUAUUUCUAUUUCCAACCAAAAAAAAAAAAAAACUUGGAAACAGAAAAAUCUUUGGAUAAAACAUAUGAAGAAGCUAUAUUGCUGCAAGAUUUGAUUAAAGGAAUAAUUUUUUUUAAGAUAAAGGACACUUUAAUUGAAAAUAUCAUGCCCGAUUAAAAUAUUUGCUCAAAUGUAUAAACUAUAACAAUGGGUAAUACUAUAUUUUUCCUCGUCAUGGAUCACGGUGCUAUAUUAGACAUCAUCAUGUAGUAAACAAAAUGGACAAAGCCACCUAAAUCUCUAAAUAACAUGCAAAAUUAAAUUCAUAUUUAAAACAUAAAAAGAAAUAACGGUCUCAUCUAAUUAUAAUUAAAAAGAAUUACACUAUACACUCCCAUUACAAUCCAAAAAUAGUUUAAGUGCUAUAUUUUCCCCUAACAAGUUAUAAAUUGUGGACAUCACUCACAAGCAAAGUAAACAGAAUAUUAAUGUAGGUUAUGUCUAUGGUUGUAACCCAUCAAUCAACUUACAUAUUUCACUAGCAUUUAACUUUUUGCACAAGGAUGGUAGUAAGACCAAUUAUAAAAUCUGGAUUCAAUUCUAUGUUUUAGACCUAGUAGGAUUUUGGCACAAAUAUGGAUAGUGUAAAUUUUAGAUAUAUCCAUGAACUCAAUAAAUCUCAAUUGCUAGAUUUUCGAACCUCACAUGAAAUCCGUGAUAUCAAGGCGAUCGCAAACUCCACUUGACACACUCUCUUGCGAUCAAGCUUUUGAUUUUCACAAAGAAGGGCAAUAGACGUUUACACGUUAAAGUUCUAAAAUAGAUUUUUUUUUUUGUCUAUUUUACUAUAUUUUUACUUUAACAUUCAGUCUUAAAUUUUUAUCCUAUAUUUUUGCAAGGUUUGAGAGUCGAAAUCCACACUUAAAAUCAAAUCGUCCCCACCCUCAAUCGCCUCUAAGAAAGUAAGAAUUCAAACCCCCAUCUUCCUAUGGUUCUAAGACAAAUGUUUUUUUUUUCUUUUUUUGGUCAGAAUUCUAAGAUAAAUGUUUGACCGGGUGAGUUUUUGGCAAAAUUUCGGUCCAUCAACGAAGACGAUGGGCUUGCAGGAGAAAAACAGGCACAAUUACCGUACAGGUUCAAUCCGCAGCACGACCCAAUAUAAAAACCUCAUAAAUUUUCGGAACGCGAUGGACUUUCGAACCCGAACCGACAUCCACGUCAGGUCACAGUGCCUAAGGGACGCGUACACGUGGCGCGUUUGGCAAGGAUUAGCUUCGUUGCAGGAGAGCAGGGGUGAAACACGAACGAACACCCUUUAUUUUUUUCUUCGGCGGUGUUGAUGCGACAUGAUGAGAUGAGAUGAGAAUAGAAUGAGGGGUGGCCUUUUAUCAUCAUCCGUGACGACCAAGACCUUUGAUCAUGCAAGCGGCUCAAGCUCAUCCUCUGCCUACAUCGCCUGCUGAGAUUCCUUCUCAGGUCCUCUUUCUCUCUCCCUCUCUCUCCCUCUCUCCUCCUGCUGCUGCUACUGCUUUACUCGUUGGAUUGAUCAUGCAAGCGGCUCAAGCUCAUCCUCCGCCUUCUGCAACGUCUGUUGAGAUUCCUUCUCAGGUCCUCUCUCUCUCUCUCUCUCUCUCUCUCUUUCGGUGGGCGUUGCGAGUUCUUGCUUUUUGUGUACGCAAGUCUCGUUGUUUGUGGGUUCGCGGGUGAGAUCGAGUUUCGUGCUUGAGAUGGGUCGGAUUCUGCCGGCGUCGGAAGAGACGGGUCGUCGGCGUUUAGGCGUUUGGUUUCCGUUUUCCGGUUGUUGCUCUGGUGUUAGCUGGUUCCGUGCAAUCUGAGCUCUUUGAGCUCGAGAGGUCGUGCCCCCUCCUCCGUCUUCCGCUUCCGGUGCUCUCGCCCCCCGGGAGAAUUUUGCUUAAGCUGUGGUUUGAGAUCUUGGUUAGGCUUGAGUGAGAAAAGUAGGGAGAGCUGUCGAAAAAGAAAGAAAGAAAAUAGAGGAACCCCGAUGCGGGAUGACACGAGUGCGAUUAAAUUUGAGUCGAACGCGACUUAGUGCAUUGCGACGUGCUUUCUGGAAUUCGAGCUACUUUAGUUUGGAACUGAUGAUUGACGCGGCGACGGUGACAGGAUAUGACUUGCGGCCCAUUCGGAGGCUUUGAGAAGUUUGCAGAUUGUGGGAAGAUUAGCAGGAACUAUGAUUAUUUUAGAAAUUAUACAACCGCCUCCAAAAGAUGAGAGCUUUACCUCGUGCAUUGUCAACUUUGACAAGCUGGAGCGAUGCUGCAAUGAAUCAUUCUUAUUACAUAAUUGUAGCACACUGGCUCACGACUCUAUGUAUAUUUAGCUAACUUAGGGUACCAAGUUUAAUGACCUAUAGAGAUUUCCAUUUGUGAGUCAGGCUUCUAAACAUUUUCCAUCUCUGGCUGCCAUUGCUUUUGCUGAUAUGCUGUUUGGUAUUUCUUGAAGAUCAUGUCCAAGGAAAUCGUGCAGAAAAACAAUGUACCUGUAAAAAUUGUUGGAAUAGUAGGGAGCACUUCUUUUACUCACACUAUGACAGAAGGUCAAGGAAUGGCUAUUUCAUCAGGAUAUGAAUAUGAAGUAUUCUUGAGCUUCAGAGGAGAAGAUACUCGAACAAGUUUUACCGAUUUCCUUUACACUAGUAUGAUAGAUGCGGGAAUCCGCGUCUAUAAGGAUGACGAAGAGCUCUGCAAGGGUGAAAACUUUGGCUCGGAACUUCUCCAGCAAUUAAUCAAUCGAAGAUCUCAAUACCUAUAUUUUCGAAAGGUUAUGCCUCUAGCGUAUGGUGUCUCAAGGAGCUAGUCCAGAUGGUCGAGUGCCAAAAAACUAGGGGACAAAAGAUUAUGCCCAUUUUUUUUAUGAUGUAGCACCUUCAGAGGUUCGACACCAAAUUAAAGGUUAUGGAGAGGCCUUUCUUACACAUGAAAACAAGAAGCGAUAUGACAAAGAGACUAUGCAUAAGUGGAAGGCUGCUCUCACCACGGUUGGAGAG